GACGAACGCUGGCGGCGUGCCUAACACAUGCAAGUCGAGCGGAGAUGUACUGACGGAAAGCUUCGGCUGGAAGAUAGUACAUUUUAGCGGCGGACGGGUGAGUAACGCGUGAGCAACCUUUCCUUCACAGGGGGAUAAGAUACCGAAAGGUGUUCUAAUACCGCAUGAGACCACAGAGCCACAUGGCUCAGGGGUCAGAGGAGGAAUCCGGUGAAGGGUGGGCUCGCGUCCGAUUAGCUAGUUGGUGAGGUGACGGCCCACCAAGGCGACGAUCGGUAGCCGACCUGAGAGGGUGAUCGGCCACAUUGGAACUGAGAGACGGUCCAAACUCCUACGGGAGGCAGCAGUGGGGAAUAUUGGGCAAUGGGGGAAACCCUGACCCAGCAACGCCGCGUGAAGGAAGAAGGUCUUCGGAUCGUAAACU
rnacentral:rRNA from 1 species